AGUAGAUUGGGAAACUCAUCAAAUAUUAAUGAAAUACCGAGACAAGCUUACUUUCUCAAUGGCGGGCCGUGACUCCCUCUCCGGGAGUUGUCACCGUAAGGCGGCACGACGGAUUACAAAGAGGAGGAGCACUCAAAUCCUGUCAUCCGGAGUUUCAUCGCAUCCUUUGAUGUGGCUCUU
rnacentral:sRNA from 1 species